ACAUGCAAGUCGAACGCUUCUUUUUCCACCGGAGCUUGCUCCACCGGAAAAAGAGGAGUGGCGAACGGGUGAGUAACACGUGGGUAACCUGCCCAUCAGAAGGGGAUAACACUUGGAAACAGGUGCUAAUACCGUAUAACAAUCGAAACCGCAUGGUUUUGAUUUGAAAGGCGCUUUCGGGUGUCGCUGAUGGAUGGACCCGCGGUGCAUUAGCUAGUUGGUGAGGUAACGGCUCACCAAGGCCACGAUGCAUAGCCGACCUGAGAGGGUGAUCGGCCACAUUGGGACUGAGACACGGCCCAAACUCCUACGGGAGGCAGCAGUAGGGAAUCUUCGGCAAUGGACGAAAGUCUGACCGAGCAACGCCGCGUGAGUGAAGAAGGUUUUCGGAUCGUAAAACUCUGUUGUUAGAGAAGAACAAGGAUGAGAGUAACUGUUCAUCCCUUGACGGUAUCUAACCAGAAAGCCACGGCUAACUACGUGCCAGCAGCCGCGGUAAUACGUAGGUGGCAAGCGUUGUCCGGAUUUAUUGGGCGUAAAGCGAGCGCAGGCGGUUUCUUAAGUCUGAUGUGAAAGCCCCCGGCUCAACCGGGGAGGGUCAUUGGAAACUGGGAGACUUGAGUGCAGAAGAGGAGAGUGGAAUUCCAUGUGUAGCGGUGAAAUGCGUAGAUAUAUGGAGGAACACCAGUGGCGAAGGCGGCUCUCUGGUCUGUAACUGACGCUGAGGCUCGAAAGCGUGGGGAGCAAACAGGAUUAGAUACCCUGGUAGUCCACGCCGUAAACGAUGAGUGCUAAGUGUUGGAGGGUUUCCGCCCUUCAGUGCUGCAGCUAACGCAUUAAGCACUCCGCCUGGGGAGUACGACCGCAAGGUUGAAACUCAAAGGAAUUGACGGGGGCCCGCACAAGCGGUGGAGCAUGUGGUUUAAUUCGAAGCAACGCGAAGAACCUUACCA
rnacentral:rRNA from 1 species